rnacentral:lncRNA from 1 species
UUCCACUUUCCUUUUUGUUAACUAAUUCAUAGGUCAAACAUUUUUUUGAGCGAGUAUGUGCUAGCUCUUUGAUGGAUGCUGGGAGAUAGCGUUAAAGGAGUCAUGUUGUUGCUAUCAAUGAGCUCAUAGCCAAGGGGAAGAGGCAAAUACAUAAAAGAAUUCCAGUAUACUUUAAUGAGGCUUGAAAGAUAUGUGGACAGAAACGUGUGAGGGAACUAACAGCAUGUAUCCCUAAAUGAAUUUGAGGGAAAAGCAGGGAGAAAAAUGGAAAACUUUGCAGAUGAAAUGGCACUGGAAGUUAGGCAGGUGGGAGCAUCUUCAACAGAAGCACUAGUAAGUGCAAACACUUGGAGAGUGAGAACAUGGCCAAGCGGGGUGAUGAGAAGUAAUUCAGUAUUGUUGUAGUGUAAAGUGUGUGGUGGCAAGUGUUAGGAUAUGAGAAAGAUAGAUGGGGCAAGAUCAUGUAGAGUUGAAUUUUAUUUUUUAAGCGAUUUUAGUGUCGUAAGAUUAUCAGAAGCGUAGUGACAUGAUCAGAUUUAUGUUUCAGAAAAUAAGUCUGUUGUGAAGGAGGAUCUGAAAUAAGAAGUUAACAGCAUUAAUAUUUAAAAGCUGCUAAAGGUUUACUCCAGUGCAUUUCAUACAUCAUCUCAAUCCUUACAAAAAGGCUAUGACAUCACAACUAAAAUCAUUCCUUUUUAGAUUAAAAAUGGGCACAGAGAGCUCAAGUACUUUGCCAAACGGUUAUGUGGUGAGUUAUAUAACUAAUGUGGUGAAGCUGAGAUUUGAAUCCAGGUAGUCUAACAGCAGAGUUUGGAUGCUUAAUUGCUGUGCCUUACAAGGGGCCGGACAAAGGGCAAGUUAGGAUUCCACGGAGAUCAUCUAAGUAAUGAAUGAUCAGGGCUUGCACUAAGGCAGUGGCAACAGUGUUGUAAGGUGGAGCACAUGUCUGGCGAUUUUGAGGAAGCAGAAUUCACAGGACAUGAUUGACUAUAGAGGAGUAAGGGAGUGAGGAUCCGGGAUGACUGUCUGGUUCCUAGUUGGUUUCUUGUAGGAGACCCGUUCACUAAGGCAGAAGACAUGUGAAGAAAUGAGGUUUGGAAAAAGAGGGGGACAUAAUCAGGUCAGUUUUGGAUGUGCUUGAGUUGGACAAACCAAAUGGAGAAAUCUAGAAAGCAACUGGGCCUGAAGGUGAGGAGAGAACAGAAGCCAGAGGGGUGAUGAGAUUCCUGAGGGGAUGGGCAAGGAGGAGAAGAUCCGUGAAGGCAGGGCUCAGAUACCCCCUGCAACUGUCUCCCACCUUGAAGGGAUAAGCAGAGAAAUACAAGCUAUCUACCAGAAUAUCAGACCUAGUGAUCAUUUAUUUAACAAAAUGAUAGUAAAGAAACAAAUGACUGAAGAUUCAUGCAGUUUAGAUU